ACUCAAGGAAGAAACUGUAGUCUCACCGUCAACUCCCAAAGCUGAAGUUCUACUUAAACUACUCCC
rnacentral:tRNA from 1 species